AGUGAUAAGCAUGGUUGGUUCCGGUGAGU
rnacentral:piRNA from 1 species